CGGGGGGCGGCUGGGGGUCGACGGCUUGAGGAGGCCUCGGCCCCGGGUUGGGGUUGAGGGGGGUAGGGAGAGGCCUCGGCAGCGGCGCGGGCUGCAGGCCCCGCCGUGAGAAGGCGGCGGGCCGGGCUGCUGCCGGCGAGGGGGGAGAAGGGCUGUUAACGGAGAUUAGCGGGGGGGGGGAUUUGGGGCUGGGGAGGCCUUAAAGGGGCAUUUCUGGGCGAGGCUGCGUGGGGCCGGGUUGUUAAAGAGGGAAGAAGGCUGAGCGGAGGGGUUGUGAAGCUCCCUUGGUCGCUCUGCUCGCACACGGGGCUAGCCGAGCCUUUUCCUUGUUGUUUUUCUUGAUUUUGUGAAGGCUCUUUGUGGAAAGCAGAAGUGCAGGUAAUGGGGGAGGCUGCAGCUGGGGGGAAAAUGUGAGAAAACGGAAAGCGAGGAGUGAGAGUGGCGUGGGGAAACCCGGCGGCUGUAAGAGCGCGGUGGGGCUGCUGCCGUCCGACGUGUGGGGUUUCCUCGUUAUUGCUGCUUGCACCUUUAAACCCACCGCUGAUAGCAGUCCGCAUAAAAUGAACUCCGGAAACUUCCAGUUUGGAACUGGGAGUCUGAGUUGAAAGCCUGGAGAGCAACAGUUGAGAACAAAAUGAAACUUGCGUGGAGUUGCUGAACUAAUAAACAGAAAUAUGGCGAA